rnacentral:rRNA from 1 species
UACGUAGGGUGCAAGCGUUGUCCGGAAUUAUUGGGCGUAAAGAGCUCGUAGGCGGUUUGUCGCGUCUGCUGUGAAAACGCGAGGCUCAACCUCGCGCCUGCAGUGGGUACGGGCAGACUAGAGUGCGGUAGGGGAGAUUGGAAUUCCUGGUGUAGCGGUGGAAUGCGCAGAUAUCAGGAGGAACACCGAUGGCGAAGGCAGAUCUCUGGGCCGUAACUGACGCUGAGGAGCGAAAGCCAGGGGAGCGAACGGG